rnacentral:rRNA from 1 species
CGGAGAGGGAGCCUGAGAAACGGCUACCACAUCCAAGGAAGGCAGCANGCGCGUAAAUUACCCAAUCUUGACACAAGGAGGUAGUGACAAUAAAUAACAAUGCCGGGCCAUUCUUGGUCUGGCAAUUGGAAUGAGAACAAUUUAAACCCCUUAUCGAGGAUCAAUUGGAGGGCAAGUCUGGUGCCAGCAGCCGCGGUAAUUCCAGCUCCAAUAGCGUAUAUUAAAGUUGUUGCAGUUAAGAAGCUCGUAGUUGGAUUUGUGGCAUUGGUUGUGGCGUCCAUUAGUUUGGUUCUGUCGUGAUCUUGCCAUCCUUGGGUGGAUCCUGUGUGGCAUUAGGUUGUCGCGCAGGGGAUGCUCAUCGUUUACUGUGAAAAAAUUAGAGUGUUCAAAGCAGGCUUAUGCCGUUGAAUAUAUUAGCAUGGAAUAAUAAGAUAGGUCUUUGGUCCUAUUUUGUUGGUUUGCGGGCCGGAGAAAUGAUUAACAGGGACAGUUGGGGGUAUUCGUAUUGCAUUGUCAGAGGUGAAAUUCUUGGAUUUCUGGAAGACGAACUACUUGCGAAAGCAUUUACCAAGGAUGUUUUCAUUAAUCAAGAACCAAAGUUAGGGGAUCGAAGAUGAUUANAUACCAUCGUAGUCU